GAUGAACGCUGGCGGCGUGCCUAAUACAUGCAAGUCGAGCGAACAGACGAGGAGCUUGCUCCUCUGACGUUAGCGGCGGACGGGUGAGUAACACGUGGAUAACCUACCUAUAAGACUGGGAUAACUUCGGGAAACCGGAGCUAAUACCGGAUAAUAUAUUGAACCGCAUGGUUCAAUAGUGAAAGACGGUUUUGCUGUCACUUAUAGAUGGAUCCGCGCCGCAUUAGCUAGUUGGUAAGGUAACGGCUUACCAAGGCAACGAUGCGUAGCCGACCUGAGAGGGUGAUCGGACACACUGGAACUGAGACACGGUACAGACUCCUACGGGAGGCAGCAGUAGGGAAUCUUCCGCAAUGGGCGAAAGCGUGACGGAGCAACGCCGCGUGAGUGAUGAAGGUCUUCGGAUCGUAAAACUCUGUUAUUAGGGAAGAACAAAUGUGUAAGUAACUAUGCACGUCUUGACGGUACCGAAUCAGAAAGCCACGGCUAACUACGUG
rnacentral:rRNA from 1 species